AGUGUGUAACAACUCACCUG
rnacentral:ncRNA from 2 species